rnacentral:rRNA from 1 species
UACGUAGGGCGCAAGCGUUGUCCGGAAUUAUUGGGCGUAAAGAGCUCGUAGGCGGCUUGUCACGUCGGAUGUGAAAGCCCGAGGCUUAACCUCGGGUCUGCAUUCGAUACGGGCUAGCUAGAGUGUGGUAGGGGAGAUCGGAAUUCCUGGUGUAGCGGUGGAAUGCGCAGAUAUCAGGAGGAACACCGGUGGCGAAGGCGGGGUCCUGGGCCAGUACUGACGCUGAGGAGCGAAAGCGUGGGGAGCAAACAGGG